rnacentral:rRNA from 1 species
CAGAGGGUGCAAGCGUUAAUCGGAAUGACUGGGCGUAAAGGGCGCGUAGGUGGUUGCUUAAGUUAGAUGUGAAAGCCCCGGGCUUAACCUGGGAACUGCAUCUAAUACUGAGUAGCUUGAGUAGAAUAGAGGGGAGUGGAAUUUCCGGUGUAGCGGUGGAAUGCGUAGAUAUCGGAAGGAACACCAGUGGCGAAGGCGGCUCCCUGGAUUCAUACUGACACUGAGGCGCGAAAGCGUGGGGAGCAAACAGGAUUAGAUACCCUGGUAGUCCACGCUGUAAACGAUGAGAACUAGAUGUUAGGAGGGUUACCUCUUAGUAUCGCAGCUAACGCAUUAAGUUCUCCGCCUGGGGAGUACGGUCGCAAGAUUA